rnacentral:rRNA from 1 species
ACGCUGGCGGCGUGCCUAAUACAUGCAAGUAGAACGCUGAAGGAGGAGCUUGCUUCUCCGGAUGAGUUGCGAACGGGUGAGUAACGCGUAGGUAACCUGCCUGGUAGCGGGGGAUAACUAUUGGAAACGAUAGCUAAUACAGCAUAAGAGUAGAUGUCGCAUGACAUUUGCUUAAAAGGUGCAAUUGCAUCACUACCAGAUGGACCUGCGUUGUAUUAGCUAGUUGGUGGGGUAACGGCUCACCAAGGCGACGAUACAUAGCCGACCUGAGAGGGUGAUCGGCCACACUGGGACUGAGACACGGCCCAGACUCCUACGGGAGGCAGCAGUAGGGAAUCUUCGGCAAUGGACGGAAGUCUGACCGAGCAACGCCGCGUGAGUGAAGAAGGUUUUCGGAUCGUAAAGCUCUGUUGUAAGAGAAGAACGAGUGUGAGAGUGGAAAGUUCACACUGUGACGGUAUCUUACCAGAAAGGGACGGCUAACUACGUGCCAGCAGCCGCGGUAAUACGUAGGUCCCGAGUGUUGUCCGGAUUUAUUGGGCGUAAAGCGAGCGCAGGCGGUUAGAUAAGUCUGAAGUUAAAGGCUGUGGCUUAACCAUAGUACGCUUUGGAAACUGUUUAACUUGAGUGCAAGAGGGGAGAGUGGAAUUCCAUGUGUAGCGGUGAAAUGCGUAGAUAUAUGGAGGAACACCGGUGGCGAAAGCGGCUCUCUGGCUUGUAACUGACGCUGAGGCUCGAAAGCGUGGGGAGCAAACAGGAUUAGAUACCCCUGGUAGUCCACGCCGUAAACGAUGAGUGCUAGGUGUUAGACCCUUUCCGGGGUUUAGUGCCGCAGCUAACGCAUUAAGCACUCCGCCUGGGGAGUACGACCGCAAGGUUGAAACUCAAAGGAAUUGACGG